rnacentral:rRNA from 1 species
CGGUAAUACAGAGGGUGCAAGCGUUAAUCGGAAUUACUGGGCGUAAAGCGCGCGUAGGUGGUUUGUUAAGUUGGAUGUGAAAUCCCCGGGCUCAACCUGGGAACUGCAUCCAAAACUGGCAAGCUAGAGUAGGGCAGAGGGUGGUGGAAUUUCCUGUGUAGCGGUGAAAUGCGUAGAUAUAGGAAGGAACACCAGUGGCGAAGGCGACCACCUGGGCUCAUACUGACACUGAGKUGCGAAAGCGUGGGGAGCAAACAGGAUU